CCACUUCCCUCCUCCUCCUCCUCCUCUUGCCCACACUUUUACCCUCCGCACCAGCAACAGUAGGACUCGUUUGGGCCAAGCGGAGCGUCCGCGUCGGCGGCGGAGUCGACGGUUCGACGGAGGGAGGCGGGCGCCGGAGGGAGGCGUUGGGAUCGCGGCCGCCGCGGUGCGUCAACAAGUGCUCCAGCUGCAGCCCCUGCACGGCCACCUUAGUCGUCUCCCCGCACGGGCGCGGGCCCACGGCCGUUAGUCCCGCACGUGCGGCCGAGGACGGGUCCAAUUAUUACUUACUAGCUUGGAAGUGUGCCUGUGGCAACAAGCUGUUUCAACCUUAAUAAAAGGCUACCUCAUGUUAUAUUAUAUUAUUAAUUAAUUAAUUAAUCACUACAUGGUAGUUCAACUUGUCGAGGUUUAAUUAGUGAUACAUAUAUACCAUCUCUCUAUGUA